GAGACACCCUUCUGGGGCAAGACUUGCUUCAGUGGGGCUUUGGUGCUCACUUGAGUCUGCCUUCUGAGUGUGUCCCU
rnacentral:pre_miRNA from 1 species